rnacentral:rRNA from 1 species
CCUACGGGGUGCAGCAGUGAGGAAUAUUGGUCAAUGGACGAGAGUCUGAACCAGCCAAGUAGCGUGAAGGAUGACUGCCCUAUGGGUUGUAAACUUCUUUUAUAUGGGAAUAAAACGUUCCACGUGUGGGAUUUUGUAUGUACCAUAUGAAUAAGGAUCGGCUAACUCCGUGCCAGCAGCCGCGGUAAUACGGAGGAUCCGAGCGUUAUCCGGAUUUAUUGGGUUUAAAGGGAGCGUAGGUGGAUUGUUAAGUCAGUUGUGAAAGUUUGCGGCUCAACCGGAAAAUUGCAGUUGAAACUGGCAGUCUUGAGUACAGUAGAGGUGGGCGGAAUUCGUGGUGUAGCGGUGAAAUGCUUAGAUAUCACGAAGAACUCCGAUUGCGAAGGCAGUUCACUGGACUGCAACUGACACUGAGGCUCGAAAGUGUGGGUAUCAAACAGGAUUAGAUACCCGAGUAGUC